rnacentral:lncRNA from 15 species
AAACCUAUAGAUAUGCAGUUGAUGUGGAGAGAUGUCAGAGUGAUGUGUCUGCUGUAAGCGCAGUGCCGAUGGUUAGGGGUAAGGUGCCUUCAUCAAGGGCACCUCGGCAGUGCCCCGGAGGAAACCUGGCACCUCUCCAGCUGCCAGUCCACACUCCGUAUCAACUGGUCCAUGCUGGACAUGAACCGUUCGCCCUCCAGUCCCCAAGCCAAGUCCCUAUGGACUGAAUGUGUGGACUGGUUUGAAAAACAGAAAAACAAAAGAUCACGCUGGUGCAAAGCCAUUCCGCUGCUGAUCACGUGCAGAGGUCCUAACUGUGAUAUUGGGUGUGGUCACAAAUUUACCAAUGCACCAAUGCUUUUCCACCAUACAAGAUCCAUCCAUCCAUCCAUCCUUUCAUCCACCAUGCAUUGGGCAAAGGUGGAUAAUUGGAACAUGCUGAAGUGGAUGAUGCAGAGCUAACGUGGAGGAAACCAGAGGAAACACAAACAAACAUGAGAGGAACAAGGAAAACCUGGAGCAGACAAGUUACUGAUGGUUGGUUGGACAAAUGACAUGCUGACUGAUUUCAGUGCAGUAUUCAAUUAAUUAUUCAUUUGGAGAUUUAAAUAAAUUUGCAUGUUUAGGUCUAAAAAGUUGUAAAUGCUUAAUGUAGUUUGUUUAUUGACAUUUUUAAACAACACACUACCAUGGUAUGAUUAAAACCACUCAUUGAAACAAUAAUUUAAAGACUAUAAAAGGAAUAUUUUUAAGACAUACCAUUUUUAAUUGUUAUUUAAAACCAAAACACAAGAGCAUUAUUAGAAAUCAAUGCAGAUAGGCCAAAAGUGUAAUAGAAUAAACAGUGUGUUUAUCUGCUGUAAUGUAAGCUGCAAUUGUUCCAUCCAACUUGCUUGCAAUUUAAAGUUGUAACUUAGUGUCACUUCCAAGGCGAAGAACAUAGUUACCUAAUUAAUUUAUUAGUUUCUUGGGUUAUGGAUUAAAUGUUUAAUUAAUAACACAUCCACUCUGUGGAAGUGGGUCAUAGAUGCAG